UUAUGGAUGCUAUUUGUAUUUAAGCUCUUCAUGGAAUGUUGUACUCUUGUUUGAGAAGUUAUGAAGGUGGUGUACUAAUUAAUGAUAUUUAAUGGUGAAGAGAAUUAUUAAUUUGGCUGGAAGUUAUAUGUUGGGUAACAAUUAUAGUUUAGAUAUACAAUUAAAUGUCAUUUUAGUCCAUGUGGUUUGGGCUAUUUUGCCAGUUUAGU
rnacentral:lncRNA from 1 species